ACUCCUACGGGAGGCAGCAGUGGGGGAAUAUUGCACAAUGGGGGGAAAACCCUGAUGCAGCCAUGCCGCGUGUGUGAAGAAGGCCUUCGGGUUGUAAAGCACUUUCAGUAGGGAGGAAGGUAGUGUAGUUAACACCUGCAUUAUUUGUACGUUACCUACAGAAGAAGCACCGGCUAACUCCGUGCCAGCAGCCGCGGUAAGUACGGAGGGUGCGAGCGUUAAUCGGAAUUACUGGGCGUAAAGCGCAUGCAGGCGGCCUGUUAAGUCAGAUGUGAAAGCCCGGGGCUUAACCUCGGAAUUGCAUUUGAAACUGGCGAGGCUAGAGUCUUGUAGAGGGGGUUAGAAUUUCGAGGUGUAGCGGUGAAAUGCGUAGAGAUCUGAAGGAAUACCA
rnacentral:rRNA from 1 species